CAUUCCCUCUUCCUUUAUUUAACAAAAUAUGUGCUUAAGUACAUAGAUGGAAUCCUCACCCACAGGUACAUAGUCAGAAUCUUAGUCAUUCCCUCCAGAGAAAUACAUGAAGUGAUGUCAUAUUUGAAGUUAAGAAAUUUUCUUAGAAGUUUUGGAUGUAAAUUAAAUUUCUACCUUCAGAAAUUGGGAAGUGGUGUGCUCAUUGGCUGCAACUGCCUCUUCAGGCCAUCUCUAUGCCUCUCCAUUGGCAUCGUUUGAGGUGAAAACUGUCAAGUAUGUAGGCGACUCCAGGCUCCUCUACUAUGUCUUGAUCAUGAUGCUCAAUAUCAUGGUUCCCCUGUCUGUAAGUGGAAAAUGGGGAUAUGGUAGUAAUAUCAACAAAGAAGAUUAUUGGUAUCAUACACCAACCCCCCAGUAUAUGUCAGGUAUUUCAUAUACAUACUAUUGGUAGUACCCCAGGACUUUCUGUGUGUGGGGGCGGGGCUUAGGUUCUGUUCCAGAAUCUGUUGGGGA
rnacentral:lncRNA from 1 species